UACGGAGGGUGCGAGCGUUGUCCGGAAUCACUGGGCGUAAAGGGCGCGUAGGCGGCGCGGGCAGUCAACGGUGAAAGCUCGGGGCUCAACUCCGAGUCGGCCGUCGAUACUCCCGGGCUGGAGCAUGGUAGAGGCAGGUGGAAUUCCGGGAGUAGCGGUGGAAUGCGUAGAGAUCCGGAAGAACACCGGUGGCGAAGGCGGCCUGCUGGGCCAUGACUGACGCUGAGGCGCGACAGCGUGGGGAGCAAACAGG
rnacentral:rRNA from 1 species